UAUGGCAGUAGUCUUCCUGCAUGUAUCCCUCAAAUACUUCAUAUUUGGCUUUUUCUUGUCUAUUACCACUUUCCAUUCGCUAUCUCUUUCAUCAGCAUAGCACCGAAGUUUCUUUUGCAAAAGAGCUCUAUUAACAACCUUCUAAUACCCAUACAGCAGCCUAGGCCAGUUCGCUAAAUGGAAUUUCUAACUCCUCCUUAUCCCCUUGAUAACUCCCUUGGUAGGUUGGAUAGAGUGCUUUUUUUUUUUUUUCAAGAAAUCAAUUUUAGUCUGUGUCCCUUGGACAAAUACAAUCACUUCCAUUUAGCCAGUAUACACUACCAAAUUGUUUUUGCUUUAAAACGACCCCCCAAAGGGUGCCUAACACGUCAUAGGAAGUGAAGACACCCUACAUCCCAGAAUACAAGAGAGGCUAUCUAGCUCCUCCGCAUUAUCAACAAGUAGUGAUUCAGAUUUAGCCAAGUUAAUCUUCAAUCAGAAACUGCUUUAAAACAAAGGAAUGUGCAACGCAAGGAGCUAUAAAUCCUCAGUUAUUGCCACCCUAUAUUUUAGUGUAUCAUUCUUGUAAAUAAAAGACGAGGCAUAAGAACCCCCUCAAUGCGUUUCCCCACGAAGAAACCUAAUAAAAACCUCUGUCCAUCAAUGCUUAGACCAUUCUGUUAGGGGUUUUCAUUACAAUUGCAAACAACAUUGGAAACAAAGGCUGUCUCUGUCGCAGUCUACACGAGUUAUAAAAGAACUUGUGGGAGUGCUAUUCACCAAGAUUGAAAAGCGCACUGUGGAGAUGUACUGUGCAAGUUAGACUGAAAGGAGGCAUAUGAUCAUCUGGAUCGAAAGUCUUACUGUAUAAUUUGAGGAAAUGUGCCUUGGAGAGAUCUUCUAGUCCAGCACCACCUUCAAUCUAUCAGCAACGACUUUUGCAAUGAUCUUGUAGAAUUCUCUCAAAAGACUUCUAGGUCUAGAGUCUUUGGGUCCCUUCUUGGGGACAAGUUCUAAUAGACAAGUCCCGCAUAGGCCCUUUGUAAAAAGUGGACCCCAUCAUCAAAAAAUGUAAAAGAACUUUUUCUUUUUGAGUGGGACUCACAUUUUUACAAAAGGCCUGCACGAGACUUGUCUAUUUGGGCUUGUACCUAGCAUUACUCUCUUGGAAAACCUCAUGCAAGUUUCUUUCAGUAACUCCCAACAAGCUUAAAAUAACCAUGGAGAAAACAUCAGGUCUUAGGGGCUCUAUCUCCACUCAUUGAUUUUACUACCUUGUCUAGAACUUUUUUUUACAUGGGCCAUAGCUGUAGACUUUAAUGGCCUCGGUUUUUAUGACUCUCGUCUCUAUUGCUUCCACAUAGAUAGGGCGUACCAUUGUAUAUUUUCUUGUGUACUUGGGCUAUGCCUAUCAUUAUUAAUAAAAUCGUUUACUUAUAAAAAAA